rnacentral:rRNA from 1 species
UGAAGGACGUGCUAAUCUGCGAUAAGCGUCGGUGAGGUGAUAUGAACCGUUAUAACCGGCGAUUUCCGAAUGGGGAAACCCAGUGUGUUUCGACACACUAUCAUUAACUGAAUCCAUAGGUUAAUGAGGCGAACCGGGGGAACUGAAACAUCUAAGUACCCCGAGGAAAAGAAAUCAACCGAGAUUCCCCCAGUAGCGGCGAGCGAACGGGGAGGAGCCCAGAGCCUGAAUCAGUGUGUGUGUUAGUGGAAGCGUCUGGAAAGGCGCGCGAUACAGGGUGACAGCCCCGUACACAAAAAUGCACAUAUUGUGAGCUCGAUGAGUAGGGCGGGACACGUGGUAUCCUGUCUGAAUAUGGGGGGACCAUCCUCCAAGGCUAAAUACUCCUGACUGACCGAUAGUGAACCAGUACCGUGAGGGAAAGGCGAAAAGAACCCCGGCGAGGGGAGUGAAAAAGAACCUGAAACCGUGUACGUACAAGCAGUGGGAGCCUCUUUAUGGGGUGACUGCGUACCUUUUGUAUAAUGGGUCAGCGACUUAUAUUCUGUAGCAAGGUUAACCGAAUAGGGGAGCCGAAGGGAAACCGAGUCUUAACUGGGCGUUAAGUUGCAGGGUAUAGACCCGAAACCCGGUGAUCUAGCCAUGGGCAGGUUGAAGGUUGGGUAACACUAACUGGAGGACCGAACCGACUAAUGUUGAAAAAUUAGCGGAUGACUUGUGGCUGGGGGUGAAAGGCCAAUCAAACCGGGAGAUAGCUGGUUCUCCCCGAAAGCUAUUUAGGUAGCGCCUCGUGAAUUCAUCUCCGGGGGUAGAGCACUGUUUCGGCAAGGGGGUCAUCCCGACUUACCAACCCGAUGCAAACUGCGAAUACCGGAGAAUGUUAUCACGGGAGACACACGGCGGGUGCUAACGUCCGUCGUGAAGAGGGAAACAACCCAGACCGCCAGCUAAGGUCCCAAAGUCAUGGUUAAGUGGGAAACGAUGUGGGAAGGCCCAGACAGCCAGGAUGUUGGCUUAGAAGCAGCCAUCAUUUAAAGAAAGCGUAAUAGCUCACUGGUCGAGUCGGCCUGCGCGGAAGAUGUAACGGGGCUAAACCAUGCACCGAAGCUGCGGCAGCGACACUAUGUGUUGUUGGGUAGGGGAGCGUUCUGUAAGCCUGUGAAGGUGGCCUGUGAGGGUUGCUGGAGGUAUCAGAAGUGCGAAUGCUGACAUAAGUAACGAUAAAGCGGGUGAAAAGCCCGCUCGCCGGAAGACCAAGGGUUCCUGUCCAACGUUAAUCGGGGCAGGGUGAGUCGACCCCUAAGGCGAGGCCGAAAGGCGUAGUCGAUGGGAAACAGGUUAAUAUUCCUGUACUUGGUGUUACUGCGAAGGGGGGACGGAGAAGGCUAUGUUGGCCGGGCGACGGUUGUCCCGGUUUAAGCGUGUAGGCUGGUUUUCCAGGCAAAUCCGGAAAACCAAGGCUGAGGCGUGAUGACGAGGCACUACGGUGCUGAAGCGACAAAUGCCCUGCUUCCAGGAAAAGCCUCUAAGCAUCAGGUAACAUCAAAUCGUACCCCAAACCGACACAGGUGGUCAGGUAGAGAAUACCAAGGCGCUUGAGAGAACUCGGGUGAAGGAACUAGGCAAAAUGGUGCCGUAACUUCGGGAGAAGGCACGCUGAUAUGUAGGUGAAGCGACUUGCUCGUGGAGCUGAAAUCAGUCGAAGAUACCAGCUGGCUGCAACUGUUUAUUAAAAACACAGCACUGUGCAAACACGAAAGUGGACGUAUACGGUGUGACGCCUGCCCGGUGCCGGAAGGUUAAUUGAUGGGGUUAGCGGUAACGCGAAGCUCUUGAUCGAAGCCCCGGUAAACGGCGGCCGUAACUAUAACGGUCCUAAGGUAGCGAAAUUCCUUGUCGGGUAAGUUCCGACCUGCACGAAUGGCGUAAUGAUGGCCAGGCUGUCUCCACCCGAGACUCAGUGAAAUUGAACUCGCUGUGAAGAUGCAGUGUACCCGCGGCAAGACGGAAAGACCCCGUGAACCUUUACUAUAGCUUGACACUGAACAUUGAGCCUUGAUGUGUAGGAUAGGUGGGAGGCUUUGAAGUGUGGACGCCAGUCUGCAUGGAGCCGACCUUGAAAUACCACCCUUUAAUGUUUGAUGUUCUAACGUUGGCCCGUAAUCCGGGUUGCGGACAGUGUCUGGUGGGUAGUUUGACUGGGGCGGUCUCCUCCUAAAGAGUAACGGAGGAGCACGAAGGUUGGCUAAUCCUGGUCGGACAUCAGGAGGUUAGUGCAAUGGCAUAAGCCAGCUUGACUGCGAGCGUGACGGCGCGAGCAGGUGCGAAAGCAGGUCAUAGUGAUCCGGUGGUUCUGAAUGGAAGGGCCAUCGCUCAACGGAUAAAAGGUACUCCGGGGAUAACAGGCUGAUACCGCCCAAGAGUUCAUAUCGACGGCGGUGUUUGGCACCUCGAUGUCGGCUCAUCACAUCCUGGGGCUGAAGUAGGUCCCAAGGGUAUGGCUGUUCGCCAUUUAAAGUGGUACGCGAGCUGGGUUUAGAACGUCGUGAGACAGUUCGGUCCCUAUCUGCCGUGGGCGCUGGAGAACUGAGGGGGGCUGCUCCUAGUACGAGAGGACCGGAGUGGACGCAUCACUGGUGUUCGGGUUGUCAUGCCAAUGGCACUGCCCGGUAGCUAAAUGCGGAAGAGAUAAGUGCUGAAAGCAUCUAAGCACGAAACUUGCCCCGAGAUGAGUUCUCCCUGACUCCUUGAGAGUCCUGAAGGAACGUUGAAGACGACGACGUUGAUAGGCCGGGUGUGUAAGCGCAGCGAUGCGUUGAGC